CAAAGAGUACAUGUAAGUUUUCAAGUAACCUUUAAAAGUAGAAACAAAAGCCAAUAGUUUUCUGUUUACACAAUAGAGAUACUGAAGCACAGGGCAACAUCUAUUUAUAAUCCAAAUAAAUCUUGUGUUCUGGUAUUUGGAACUGUCCAUAUUUAACAUAUUGGGAAGCAGCAGCCACAAGACUGCAUUAAGAAAUACUGAUUUAGAUCUGCAGUGUUUUGGUCCAUGUAUUUUCCUCCUUAGUCACUUGCCAAUUAUGACUUUUGCAAAAGAAAAAGGUUUUAUUUUCAAAGCUGGCUUAUGUGGAGUUCAUAAAUGUUGUGACAGGUGAUACCUAGGCUGUGCUUUUAAUGCCUUUGAGCUAAACUCUUGCCUGACUCUUUUUUCCACAAACCCUCAAAGUUUCCAAGAGUCCUUCAAUAUCUGUGAUAGGUGACAUGCAGAUGAGAUCCCCAGAUGGCAUGUCUCAGGAAAGUAUAUAUAAUUUAGGCUAUCCAGCUCCUUAGGCCUGGUGCAUUCCCUAGCUGUGUUCUAGCCCAAGUUUUGCCUCUGGUGCUCUUUCUUUUGCAGAGGAAAAAACUGUGAUGAAUGCCACACAGUCUGCCAGUUUGAAUAUGAAGGAACUCAGAUGGAGAAGCUGGGGGGAGUGGGGAGCAGGGAUGGUGGUGACCAUGGAGUCCACCUCCCACAAAGUUUAGAAAUUGUCAAAAAAAUUACGUGACUAUCGUGUACAGACAUACUGUAACUGUAAAGGGGUUUUAGCAAGACUGGUGGGAUCUGUACCUCUGACAGCCACAUACAAGAAGGAUUCUCCCAGUCUGGCUUCUUUGCUCUCUGAGAGUUUGCAGACAUGCCAGUUAAGCAAGCAAUUUUUCACAAUAAACCAAGGCUAUUUUUAUGGAAUCAAGAGGGUUGGAACUUGAUCCUUAAGGUUCCUUCCAACCCAUACCAUUUUAUGAUUCUCUGAUCCAAAGAUACUGGCUUCUCCAGUGUAGUUGUAUUUUUUUAUUUCUGAUGGCUGGACUCAUAGUCAUAUUCUGGACAACUUGCAACCCACCUAGAACAAGCUAUUAUCUAUUGUCAGCUGCUACAAAACAGCUCCCCAAAGUAUGCUGUUAGUACUAAGUACGGUAUGGAGAAUUUGUCUUUGAAGUCCUGGGGUACUUGAAACAACAGGUCAUGUACUAAAUGGCCUCUAGGGAUCUUUUCCAGCCUCAUUUACUAUGGUUCUGUGCACUCACAUCAGAUUCACUUGUGAGAAUGCUUAAAGUUUUGAAUGUUUGUCGUGCUGAACUUAGGAUUUGGGGUUGACCUUCACGUCCUCUAAACCUUCUUGGAAAGAUACGCAUUGGGAUAGAGUGCAGCAGCAGCUGAUUAUUCCCCCUGGACAGCUUUCCUCCAACCUGCUCCUCCGUCAGAGGAAUCACCACAUCCUCAAUGCCAUUUGUGUCUGUGGGGGAGAGGAGGCCAGCAUCAGCAGCUGGCCUAAUGACAAGGUAUUGAGUCUUAAAAUUCCCCCCAUCAUUAAUUAUUCCACUGUCUGCAACAAAAGGAUCAGGUCACUCAUUAUCUAAUGCAACCUGAACUUUCAUCAGCUUUGAAUACUUUGCCCAUUCAGACACAAGCUCAUCUUCUCCAUAAGACUACCCACCACCUAAACAGACCCUGCUGUCCUAAUAGAUUCUGAUGUUUUUAAUAUAUAGAAGUACUAAGAAGAAUUACCAAAAUGCUCCUGUUCAGAGCUUGGCACUGCACCAUUUCAGCAUUUGUUGCUGAUUAAUAUUGAGAGCUUCUUCAUAGGAAGAAAUUACUUUGCAAUAGUUGAAAUCCUACCAAAUAUAGGGAAACCCAUGGCUAUUGACCUUUCAACAGAUGUUGAAUCCAAUUAGGUACUCAGCACUGUACUAUAAUGUUCUGCAAGUGGCAGCUAGUGGCUAGUGAUUUCUAAAAACAUUUUAAUUUUUCAAAAUUAUGGUUUUUCUCAGUGAACCAUCAUUGUUUCACCAAAAAACCCUCAGCUACGUGAAGAUGACUGCUUAGAUCUGCAUUCACAAUUCUUUGUGGCCAGUCCAUUGCUGUGGCAGGAAAAAUUACAUUAAAACACACAGGGAUACCUGAAAAAUAUGCAGUCACUGUCCUCAAUUUAUUUUCCUGUCCUCUUUAAUCAAGCAAGUUUUGUACUGGUUUCAUAGAGGAGUGCUUCCUGAACAGAUCAGGACUCUGUCAUGAAAUAAUGAACCAGCUUCUUUGAAAGAAAGCAACUUUAUUUAGAAAUGUUACACUAUAAAGUGUGUUUGUGUAUAUAUAUGGGACUAUAAGAUCAUUGCAUCCAUUUUUUCCAAUUUUAGUAUUAAAGAUCUAUAUUUUUAAAAAAAUUACUGCCUACAAAUUAACUGGACUUUCUCAGACUCACAAACUCCACUAAAUACCAGCUUCUUUCUAUUUAUAACUCUGCUUUUGAAAGAUUUAUUUGCUUUUCCAGUUCUACUUAUCUGAAGCCACAAUAAUUAACUUUCAGAACAUUACAUGAUGGGAAAAAACAAUUACACACAUUAGAGAAAUAAAUAGUUGCUAAGGAAAACAUACCUGGUAAGGCAGAUAAUUAUUUCAUGGCUGUCACACUUUCCAGGGAUGCUGCUUCUGUAGUUGUUCCACUGAAUGAGCAAAUUUCAGAGAGAACAAAUCCUCUCUGGACACUGCUAAUAUAAGAAGCCAAUUCUCAUUAUGAGAGGUCAGACUAGUUCUGCUCCCUGAAUUCCAGCUCUGAAAUGAACUUAUCCAAAUAAACAAACACCAGACUGAGUUUUUCUUCUGCCAUUGACUGGAAAUCUCUCAUAUAAGGAAGAGCCUGGUGGAAGCAGUUUAAUGUGUUUUGUCCUUCUGGAUUUUAUGAGUGCAGAUAUACUCCUGUGCAACAUUAGUCUUAUGACUGAUUUAAUAGGGAAUAGAAAAUAUACUGGAAAGGCUGUCCAUUAUGCAGUGUAGUGAUAGAUGUAGUGAUAGCAAAGUACUUCCUGGGCAGAUGUACUCUACUGACUGCAAGUCACUGGCAGCAGCACAAUUUUGCUUGUAUAACAACACUUAAUGCUUAAUCUAUAUAUUGUUUGAUGUUCAAAGAGCUGACACUUUUUUUAUUAUUCUUCCUCUGUGCAAAACAUAUACUCAAAUGCAUAUAUACAUAUGAAUAAUGCAUUUACCAUAUUCAUAUGUAAAGCAGAUGCAACUAACUGUCAGGACAAUAUAGAGGCCAAAUCUAGUGUGAUAGCCACAUGGAAAUGAUAUUCAAAGUUUACAGUGUUGAAAUGCAGAAUAUACUGUGCUAUUCUGCCCUGGCAAUGCAGUCUGAAGUAACAAAACAAAAAAAAAAAAAAAAAAA
rnacentral:lncRNA from 1 species